GACUAACUAGAGAAUUAAUUAACCGACUUAAACCAGCUAACUACCACUAACUCCAGCUUAACUAACUUGUAACAGAAUUAAGCUAAGGCACAGCUGUACAGGUUGUUAAUUCCUCAACACCCUCCCGCAAGCUAGGUGCUAUAAACAAAUUCUUCAUGCCUAGCUUGCAUACUAAGUAGGAAUGUUGUAUAUGAGCAAGUCCUUUAGUCAACACAUCUGCUAGUUGUUCAGAGGAAGGAAGGUGUAGCAGAUGCACAAGUCCUUGUUGAAUUCUUUCUCUGAUAAAGUGACAAUCCAAAUCAAUGUGCUUGGUCCUUUCAUGGAAUACUGGAUUUAAAGCUAUCUGAAUAGCUGACUUACUGUCACUGUGAAGUGGGAUAGGUAGUUGUAGAUCAACAGCCAAUUCUUUGAACAACCUGGUAAGCCAAACAAUCUCUGCUACUGUUGAAGCUAAGCUCCUGUACUCUGCUUCAGCAGAACUCCUUGAAACUGUCAGUUGCUUUUUUGACUUCCAUGAAAUAAGAGAAGAGCCAAACUUCACUAUGUAUCCAGUGACAGAUCUCCUGGUAUUUGGGCAUGCUGCCCAGUCAGCAUCACAAUAGGCAGCUAGUACAUUAGAGCUGUGUGAAGACAAUAAAACACCAGUGCCAGGAGAACCUUUGAUGUACCUAACCAACCUUAGUGCAGCCUCCAUGUGUGAAGUCUUAGGUGAAUGCAUAAAUUGGCUCAAACAUUGCACAGCAAAUGCAAUAUCAGGUCUGGUAUUAGUCAAGUACAAAAGCCUGCCAAGAAGUCUUUGAUAGGCACCAAUGUCAUCUACAGGUAAGUCUCAUGUAAGCCCAGUGUGAUUAUCAAACUCAGUAGUGGUGAAUUUCAUAUUGAACUCCAACGGAGUACCUACUGGUUUGGCCCCUGCAAGUCCUAGAUCAGAGAUAAGCUCAAGGGCAUAUUUUCGUUGAUGCAUAACAAUCCCCUCCUUGCUUCUGGCAAACUCAAUGCCAAGAAAAUAUCUGAGACAACCAAGAUCCUUGAUCUUAAAACUGGAAUGCAGGCUAGCUUUAGUAUCCUCUAUCAUAGCUAAAUCAUCACCAGUGAUGAGAAGAUCAUCAACAUACACCAGAAUAACAACCAUUUUUCCAUGUGAAUGUCUGAUGAACAAAGAGUAGUCCAGGUGACUUUUAGUGAACCCAAAAGAAAGUAAAGCAGUAGUGAGUUUUAAAUUCCAUUGCCUGGAAGCUUGUUUAAGGCCAUAGAGUGACUUAAGUAAUCUGCAAACUUGUUGAGAUUUACCCUGAUCAGAAAAACCUUGUGGCAUGGUCAUAUAGAUUUCUUCUUCAAGAUCGCCUUGUAAGAAAGCAUUAAAGACAUCCAUUUGAUGAAUAUCCCAAUUCUUAGAUGCUGCUAUAGCUAAAACUGCUCUGACAGUGACCAUCUUCACAACUGGAGAAAAUGUUUCUUGAUAGUCCAGACCCUCUUGUUGGUUAUACCCCUUAGCCACCAACCUAGCCUUGAAUCUAUCUAUCUCUCCUGAGGCUGUGUAUUUAAUUUUAUAGACCCAUUUACAGCCAAUAGCUCUCUAGUCAACACAUCUGCUAGUUGUUCAGAGGAAGGAAGGUGUAGCAGAUGCACAAGUCCUUGUUGAAUUCUUUCUCUGAUAAAGUGACAAUCCAAAUCAAUGUGCUUGGUCCUUUCAUGGAAUACUGGAUUUAAAGCUAUCUGAAUAGCUGACUUACUGUCACUGUGAAGUGGGAUAGGUAGUUGUAGA
rnacentral:lncRNA from 1 species